rnacentral:rRNA from 1 species
UUGGUUAAGUUAGAAAGGGCGCACGGUGGAUGCCUUGGCACUAGGAGCCGAAGAAGGACGGGACUAACACCGAUAUGCUUUGGGGAGCUGUACGUAAGCGUUGAUCCAGAGAUUUCCGAAUGGGGGAACCCACUAUCUUUAGUCGGAUAGUAUCCUUACGUGAAUACAUAGCGUGAGGAAGGCAGACCCAGGGAACUGAAACAUCUAAGUACCUGGAGGAAGAGAAAGAAAAAUCGAUUUCCUGAGUAGCGGCGAGCGAAACGGAAAGAGCCCAAACCAAGAAGCUUGCUUCUUGGGGUUGUAGGACACUCUAUACGGAGUUACAAAAGAAAGUUAUAAAUGAAGCGGUCUGGAAAGGCCCGCCAAAGACGGUAACAGCCCGGUAGUUGAAAUAGCUUUCCCUCCAGAGUGGAUCCUGAGUACGGCGGAACACGUGAAAUUCCGUCGGAAUCCGGGAGGACCAUCUCCCAAGGCUAAAUACUCCCUAGUGACCGAUAGUGAACCAGUACCGUGAGGGAAAGGUGAAAAGCACCCCGGAAGGGGAGUGAAACAGUUCCUGAAACCGUGUGCCUACAAGUAGUUAGAGCCCGUUAAUGGGUGAUAGCGUGCCUUUUGUAGAAUGAACCGGCGAGUUACGAUUUGUUGCAAGGUUAAGCGGAAAAAGCGGAGCCGUAGCGAAAGCGAGUCUGAAUAGGGCGCAUAAGUAACAGGUCGUAGACCCGAAACCAGGUGAUCUACCCAUGUCCAGGAUGAAGGUAAGGUAAUACUUACUGGAGGUCCGAACCCACGCACGUUGAAAAGUGCGGGGAUGAGGUGUGGGUAGCGGAGAAAUUCCAAUCGAACUUGGAGAUAGCUGGUUCUCUCCGAAAUAGCUUUAGGGCUAGCCUCGAGGUAAAGAGUCAUGGAGGUAGAGCACUGUUUGGACUAGGGGCCCUUCUCGGGUUACCGAAUUCAGAUAAACUCCGAAUGCCAUGUACUUAUACUCGGGAGUCAGACUGCGAGUGAUAAGAUCCGUAGUCGAAAGGGAAACAGCCCAGACCACCAGUUAAGGUCCCCAAAUAUAUGUUAAGUGGAAAAGGAUGUGGGGUUGCUUAGACAACCAGGAUGUUGGCUUAGAAGCAGCCACCAUUGAAAGAGUGCGUAAUAGCUCACUGGUCGAGUGACCCCGCGCCGAAAAUGUACCGGGGCUAAACAUAUUACCGAAACUGUGGAUGAACCUCUUCGGAGGUUCGUGGUAGGAGAGCGUUCUAAGGGCGGUGAAGUCAGACCGGAAGGACUGGUGGAGCGCUUAGAAGUGAGAAUGCCGGUAUGAGUAGCGAAAGAAGGGUGAGAAUCCCUUCCACCGAAUAUCUAAGGUUUCCUGAGGAAGGCUCGUCCGCUCAGGGUUAGUCGGGACCUAAGCCGAGGCCGAUAGGCGUAGGCGAUGGACAACAGGUAGAGAUUCCUGUACCAGUGCUAAUUGUUUAACCGAUGGGGUGACACAGAAGGAUAGGGAAUCGCACGAAUGGAAAUGUGCGUCCAAGCAGUGAGUGUGAGAAGUAGGCAAAUCCGCUUCUCGCGAAGCAUGAGCUGUGAUGGGGAAGGAAAUAAAGUACGGAAGUUCCUGAUUUCACGCUGUCAAGAAAAGCCUCUAGGAAGAGUAGUACUGCCCGUACCGCAAACCGACACAGGUAGAUGAGGAGAGAAUCCUAAGGUGAGCGAGAGAACUCUCGUUAAGGAACUCGGCAAAAUGACCCCGUAACUUCGGGAGAAGGGGUGCUCUAUUAGGGUGCAAGCCCGAGAGAGCCGCAGUGAAUAGGCCCAGGCGACUGUUUAGCAAAAACACAGGUCUCUGCAAAACCGUAAGGUGACGUAUAGGGGCUGACGCCUGCCCGGUGCUGGAAGGUUAAGAGGAGUGCUUAGCUUCGGCGAAGGUACGAAUUGAAGCCCCAGUAAACGGCGGCCGUAACUAUAACGGUCCUAAGGUAGCGAAAUUCCUUGUCGGGUAAGUUCCGACCCGCACGAAAGGCGCAACGAUCUGGGCACUGUCUCAACGAGAGACUCGGUGAAAUUAUAGUACCUGUGAAGAUGCAGGUUACCCGCGACAGGACGGAAAGACCCCGUGGAGCUUUACUGCAACCUGAUAUGGAAUGUUUGUACCGCUUGUACAGGAUAGGUAGGAGCCGAAGAGACGUGUGCGCUAGCAUACGAGGAGGCAAUGGUGGGAUACUACCCUGGCUGUAUGACCAUUCUAACCCGC